AUGGAGGUGCUCUGGAAUGGAAAAGACGGCUUUGAAGUGAAGCUUUUAACUGGGAGAAGGCAGUACACAGUGAGCCUUGAAAAUAGGACAUGCUCAUGUGGUUAUUUUCAGUUAGCAGGUCUACCAUGUUCUCAUGCAAUUACUGCUAUCUACAAGUGUAAGAAACUUGUGGAAGAUUAUAUUGAUCCUUAUUACUCAGUUGAUACCUUCAACAGCAUAUAUGAGCAUUGUCUAGAGCCUGUAGAAGGUGAAGAACUUUGGCGUAUUUCUGCCAAGCCUAGGCCUCAAGCUCCAGGUUAUGUGCGAAUGCCAGGCAGGCCAAAGAAAAAUGCCAGGAAGAGGGAAGAAACUGAAAAACCGAAGCCUACCAACAAAAUGAGCAAGCAUGGCACUAUAAUUACUUGCUCAUUGUGCCAUAACACUGGCCACAACAAGGGAGGCUGCAAGAAGAACCCAGACAGAGGCAAGAAGAAGAAUGCGCACCUUGUGAAGACUACAAAAAAAGGAAGGCAUCAGAUGUAA
rnacentral:rRNA from 1 species